rnacentral:rRNA from 1 species
UGGGGAAUUUUGGACAAUGGGGGAAACCCUGAUCCAGCCAUCCCGCGUGUGCGAUGAAGGCCUUCGGGUUGUAAAGCACUUUUGGCAGGAAAGAAACGUCAUGGGUUAAUACCCCGUGAAACUGACGGUACCUGCAGAAUAAGCACCGGCUAACUACGUGCCAGCAGCCGCGGUAAUACGUAGGGUGCAAGCGUUAAUCGGACUUACUGGGCGUAAAGCGUGCGCAGGCGGUUCGGAAAAAAAGAUGUGAAAUCCCAGAGCUCAACUUUGGAACUGCAUUUUUAACUACCGGGCUAGAGUGUGUCAGAGGGAGGUGGAAUUCCGCGUGUAGCAGUGAAAUGCGUAGAUAUGCGGAGGAACACCGAUGGCGAAGGCAGCCUCCUGGGAUAACACUGACGCUCAUGCACGAAAGCGUGGGGAGCAAACAGG